GACUCGUAGAGAGUUCUGAAGUCCAUUCAGAGACCAAAGGGAGCACGCUGUUGCUGGAAAAAGAGAGGAGAUUCAAAGACAAGGGGCUUCAUGAUGCUGUGAUUCUGUAUGAACACAAAGGGAGGAAGCAGGAUUUGUUCAAGGAGAACCAAGGGGAAGAAGACCAGAGGAGCAGAGGAAGGCCAUGCCAAUUCUGUUGGUGUCUCCUGCCACAGCAUUUGUGGUGACUGGGCAGAGAAGCACAGGCAAGUGUGCUUUGCCCUCAGCCUUUGGAACAAGGUGUGCUCCAUCCCCUGCACCAGGAUUUUGCAGUCACAGGAAGGGCUCAAUAAGGGUGUUUCUGUUACUCACUGAGUCUUCUGGUGGGUAAAAAAAAUUGUGGAUGUAAGUCUGGAUGUACUAAACUACCAGGCUCUUUGGUGGUAUCUGCAAGUGACUGGACAUAACAGCACACCUUAAGAAAAAUAUGGCUGUGUGGCUUGCUAUAAAAACUGAAUGGGCAAAACAGAGUGUGGCUCAGUCCUAUUCCCUGUGCAUCCAUCUGUGCUCAGCUGGGCCUGCAAGGCAUUUCCCUGUUUCUACUUCUUUGCUCUGGAAAUGGGGGGGAAAGUCUGUCCACAUUCCUUCCCCAAUAUACUUUGACAAUUCAAGGGCAGCCUGGAGUUUGACAUGACAGACACAAAUGGCUGGAGAAGGAUCCUCCUCAGUGCCAGCUUUUCUCUUCCAGAUAUUUCCUCCUUGCCUCUACAUGUUAAAUGAGCAGUUUGCAGGAGUACAGAAAAUUAUAUGGGCUAUAAGGACUCAGCAGGUGCUGAGAAGAGUUUUACAGAAAUACCUUUUUAAAGUUGAAAACAAAUUUUCUUUGACCUUUUUAAUGCCCUGUUUGUGCUUGUUUGCCACUGGUGUUCAUGUUGGUGCAAUUUGGGGCUGGGGGGUAUAGGAGUGGUCAUAGAAUAAUAAUUAAAUUUGAGUAUUUGCAGCAAGGCUUUUCAUUAGCACCAGAGAAGUGACUGACUAUAAGAGAGAACCUUAAGGCAUCACGAAAGCAAAAACAAAACAGUUAUGUCCAGUCAGAGCAACUCCAGUUGUGAAUUUAGAUUUUAACAAUCCUUACAAAGUGUUCAGUCAUUAUUAACAAAAUGAUGUAAUAAUAAUAAUUAUAAUUUUGCUUGAAUAAAUAUGAGAACUCUGGAGUA